GGCACCAUGGCAUAGUGGCUAGCGCGCCUGUCUGUAACCCAGAAGUAAUGGGUUCAAUGCCCAACGAUGCUA
rnacentral:tRNA from 1 species